UGGUGCUUGCACCAGCGAGCCGAGUGGCGGACGGGUGAGUAACACGUGACCAACCUACCUUUGGGAGGGGGAUAACCUGGGGAAACCCGGACUAAUACCGCAUAUCGUCCACGGGCCGCAUGACCUGUGGAUAAAAGGGAGCCUCUGCUUGCAAGCUCUCACCCAAAGAGGGGGUCGCGGCGUAUCAGCUAGUUGGUGGGGUAAUGGCCUACCAAGGCAUCGACGCGUAGCGGGUCUGAGAGGACGACCCGUCACAUUGGGACUGAGAUACGGCCCAGACUCCUACGGGAGGCAGCAGUGGGGAAUAUUGCGCAAUGGCCGAAAGGUUGACGCAGCGACGCCGCGUGUGGGAGGACGCCCUUCGGGGUGUAAACCACUGUCAGGGGGGAAGAACUUCGUAGGUGUGAAUAGCGCUUACGGUUGACGGUACCCCCAGAGGAAGCGCCGGCUAACUCCGUGCCAGCAGCCGCGGUAAGACGGAGGGCGCAAGCGUUGUUCGGAAUUACUGGGCGUAAAGGGCAGGUAGGUGGCCCGUUAAGUCUUCUGUGAAAAUCCGGAGCUCAACUCCGUGAAAUGCAGGAGAAACUGGCAGGCUUGAGACCGGUAGAGGCUAGCGGAAUUCCUGGUGUAGCGGUGGA
rnacentral:rRNA from 1 species